UCUGACUAUUGUUUUAACUUCAAAAAUGUACGAACAGAAUCGCUGUUUGUCAUUUAAUAAUCAUAUUUGUGUUAAAAGUGUAUAAAUGUGAGAGAAAAAAAGCUGUGCAUGGAUAUAAUACUACCCAAUAACGACAGCUAACUACUGUGCUCUGUUUUUUGUUGUGGGUUUUUUUGCUAUGUUUUCUGCAUGUUUUGAGUGGAUCAAUGAACAGAGAGGGAACCCUUUGAUAUGCUACUGAGGUGAUUCGACGUAAGCAUCUCAGGCGAGCACUCUACCGACUGAGCUAGAAUCAAGACCCCAGUUUGUUUUAUGCAGGCAUUGCCAGAUGAGCUUCAACAAUAAUUUAUGGUGUGUGAAUACGUAAUUUAUAUGCACUAAUUGUUCAUUAUGGCAGGUAUUUGAACCCCCAUCUGUCAUGGUUCAGUAAACAAUUUUGAUUUUUAAUGCGCAAAAAAAGGAGUCUUCAAACGAUUCCGUCAUUUAUCAU